rnacentral:lncRNA from 10 species
GGGAGCUUAGAUGUGGAAGCUCUUUGGAAACCAAGAAACACUCUGAAAAUGAAAAGGGUGGAAGAGUAAACUGUUCCUGUUUCUCCAUCUUGACAGGAAGCAGAAGUUCUCCUUAGCUGAUUUUUCUUCUUGCCUUAUACUGGGUUCUUUAACACCAGAACAAAAAUAAAUAAAUAAAAGAAUCUUCCAGAAAUUCAUGAAGAGACUUCAGGUCAGGAAAGCCUGAACUUUCUCAUCCAACACCCGUUCAAGUCGGAGGAUGCUGAUUAAUUCAUGAUGGAAAGGUAUCAAUUUCACAGCCCAGACCUCUACAUUCUUGAAAUGCUCUUCUCAUGGGAGACAUUAAAUAAGCUUUGAAUUAACUGACCAAUCAUGAUCUUUAUAGAAAAAUUGGAAGGAAGUACAGAAACAUGUGAAUGGAAAAAUAUCCAACCCGAGCAGGAUAAAACUGAUCAUCCUGAGGAUAUUGCCCUUGGAGUUAAUUUUUUGAGAGAAAUAAAACAAUAAACAUCAUAAGACACAAACCCCAAGCAACUGAUCUCACUGUUAAAAUCCAACCUGAGAACAAUGGAAUGGACCAUACUGUCUUUGUCACAACUCUGCCAUUGCAGCGUGAAAGCAUCCAUAGACGGUACACAAAUGCAUGGAUGUAGUUGUACUCCAGUACAACUGCAAAAAGCAGACAGCUGGCUGGGUUUAGCCUACGGGCCAUAGUUUACACAACUCAAUCUAGGUGAUUGCCUGGUAACUUUGUGAUUGUA